GGCCCCGUGGCGCAACUGAAUAGCGCAUCAGAUUUCGGCUCUGAGGGUUGGGGGUUUGAAUCCCUCCGGGGUCACCA
rnacentral:tRNA from 3 species